rnacentral:rRNA from 1 species
GUGAACGCUGGCGGUAGGCCUAACACCUGCAAGUCGAACGGCAGCACAGUAAGAGCUUGCUCUUACGGGUGGCGAGUGGCGGACGGGUGAGGAAUACAUCGGAAUCUACUUUUUCGUGGGGGAUAACGUAGGGAAACUUACGCUAAUACCGCAUACGACCUACGGGUGAAAGCAGGGGAUCUUCGGACCUUGCGCGAUUGAAUGAGCCGAUGUCGGAUUAGCUAGUUGGCGGGGUAAAGGCCCACCAAGGCGACGAUCCGUAGCUGGUCUGAGAGGAUGAUCAGCCACACUGGAACUGAGACACGGUCCAGACUCCUACGGGAGGCAGCAGUGGGGAAUAUUGGGCAAUGGGCGCAAGCCUGAUCCAGCCAUACCGCGUGGGUGAAGAAGGCCUUCGGGUUGUAAAGCCCUUUUGUUGGGAAAGAAAAGCAGCAGGUUGAUACCCCGCUGUUCUGACGGUACCCAAAGAAUAAGCACCGGCUAACUUCGUG